rnacentral:rRNA from 1 species
GUCCACGCCGUAAACGAUGGGUGCUAGGUGUCGCGGGCUUUGACCCCUGCGGUGCCGUAGCUAACGCAUUAAGCACCCCGCCUGGGGAGUACGGCCGCAAGGCUAAACUCAAAGGAAUUGACGGGGCCCGCACAAGCGGUGGAGCAUGUGGUUUAAUUCGACGCAACGCGCAGAACCUUACCUGGGCUAGAAAAUGCAGGAACCUGGUCGAAAGGUCGGGGUGCUCUUCGGAGAACCUGUAGUUAGGUGCUGCAUGGCUGUCGU